GGCUAGGGGUCGGCGUUCCGUAUGAAUUGUGCUGGGCACGAAUGCAGUGUGGCUUUUGAUGGCUUCUGAUGGACAGUUCUGUGCCAAAGGGGUGGAAGUGGCUGCCAAGGCACUAAACAGAAGUAGCUGGAAGUUGAAGGGGUGGACUUGAGUCUUAACACAUGUCUGGACCGACCGUAUUUGGGCUUAUAGGCCACUAUCAUGGAUGGCUUGCUUGGGGUACUUAGUUUGAAGACAUUUUCAUAUAAAGGUGUGAAGAGUUUGGGGCACCUUACAAAGCCUGGAACAAGGAGUUUUAAGCUAAGGCAGACUUGCCAACCUGAAGAUUUAGAGGGUGUUUAUGAGAGCAGCAAUCCAGUUAUGAGAGCAGCUUACCAGUUGAAAGGCACCUGAAUGGAUGCUUAUGUGAUGUGAUAGAAGAUCAAAUUUCCAAUUUCAAUAAGUUUUUAUAAACCAUCAAAAAAAAAAAA